GGUGGUGUUGUCUAGUGGUAUGAUGUCUGCUUAGGGUGCAGGAGGCCCUGGGUUCGAAUCCCAGCACCGCCC
rfam:Trachipleistophora hominis chromosome Tnknown scaffold00041, whole genome shotgun sequence.